rnacentral:tRNA from 1 species
GGGGAUUUAGCUCAGUGGUAGAGCGCUUGCCUACCGAACCGCAAGGCCCUGGGUUCGGUCCCCAGCUCCG